rnacentral:rRNA from 1 species
CCCUUAGAUGUUCUGGGCAGCACGCGCGCUACAAUGGUCUUCGCAAACGGAUGCAUUCUCGAAGGAGAAUGCCAAUCUUGGAAUCUAUGCCUUGGUCGGGACAGUUGCUUGCAAUUUUUCGACUCGAACCAGGAAUUCCUUGUAAUCGUGAUUCAUCACAUCACGAUGAAUACGUCCCUGCCCUUUGUACACACCGCCCGUCGCUACUACCGAUGGAUGAUUUGGUGAGAUCGCCUAGACUGGCAGCUGGCUUCGGCCGUGCUGCCGGGAAGACGCUCAAACUUGGUCGUCUAGAGGAAGUAAAAGUCGUAACA